GCCCCCGUAGUUCAGGUGGAUAGAACAACGGAUUUCUAAUCCGUGGGUCGCAGGUUCGAGUCCUGCCGGGGGCG
rnacentral:tRNA from 1 species